CCUUGGAAAAGCUGAACAAAAUGAGUGAGAACUCCCUACCGUCGUUCUCAUCGAAACUGAGGUCC
rnacentral:snoRNA from 1 species